rnacentral:rRNA from 1 species
UACGGAGGGUGCAAGCGUUGUUCGGAAUUAUUGGGCGUAAAGGGUGCGUAGGCGGUUACGUGUGUCUAAGGUGAAAUUCCAGGGCUUAACUCUGGACUGCCUUAGAAACUGCGUGACUAGAGUGCAGGAGAGGGCAACGGAAUUCCAUGUGUAGCGGUAAAAUGCGUAGAUAUAUGGAGGAACACCGGUGGCGAAGGCGGUUGCCUGGCCUGUAACUGACGCUGAGGCACGAAAGCGUGGGGAGCAAAUAGGAUUAGAUACCCC